rnacentral:rRNA from 1 species
GACGAACGCUGGCGGCGUGCCUAACACAUGCAAGUCGAACGGACGAGACUUCUUCGGAGGUCAAAUUAGUGGCGGACGGGUGAGUAACGCGUGAGUAACCUGCCUUACAGAGGGGGAUAACGUUUGGAAACGAACGCUAAUACCGCAUAACAUUACUUUGAGGCAUCUUGAGGUAAUUAAAUCUUCGGAGGUAUAAGAUGGGCAUGCGUAGCAUUAGCUAGAUGGUGCGGUAACGGCGUACCAUGGCGACGAUGCUUAGGGGUUCUGAGAGGAAGGUCCCCCANACUGGUACUGAGAUACGGACCAGACUCCUACGGGAGGCAGCAGUGAGG